UAUAUUGCCUCCACCGUCACCAACCGCGGAUUCUCUCAUUUCGGUGAACAUGUCAAACAUCAACCAAUUAGCAAUAAUUAAUCAUCUCAUGUGGAGCCAAUUAAUAAAUAUCAAUAAUCUCAUGUGGAGCCAAUUAUGUUUUUCUAGAUUCUCUAUUUUAGUCUUUAGGUAUAACAUAUAUGUGUACAUGUCCAUCGAGAUCAUUCUCCUUAAAGUCUUCCUAUCUCCUUAAAGUCU